rnacentral:rRNA from 1 species
AUACGAAAGGUGCAAGCGUUGUUCGGAUUUACUGGGCGUAAAGAGAUCGUAGGUGGUUUAUUAAGUCGGAUGUGAAAUCCCGGGGCUCAACACCGGAACUGCAUUCGAUACUGGUAGACUAGAGUUUGGGAGGGGUAAGCGGAAUUCCGUGUGUAGCAGUGAAAUGCGUAGAUAUACGGAGGAACACCUGAGGCGAAGGCGGCUUACUGGACCAAUACUGACACUGAGGAUCGAAAGCGUGGGUAGCAAACAGGAUUAGAUACCCUAGUAGUCC